GUGUGAAGUAGAAAAUCGAUACCAGGGAAAUCCACUUAAAGGAACAUGUUAUUAUACUCUUCUUAUUGACUAUCAGUUCACCUUCAGCCUUUCCCAAGAGGAUGAUCGCUAUUAUACUGCAAUCAAUUUUGUAGCAACACCUGAAGAGCAAAAUAGAGACCUGGACAUGUUUAUCAACGCAUCUAAAAACUUCAACCUCAACAUAACUUGGUCAACAAGUUUUGCAGCUGGCACACAGGCAGGAGAGGAGAUUCCAGUUGUUUCAAAGUCCAACAUAAAGGAAUACAAGGACAGCUUCUCCAAUGAGAAAUUUGAUUUCCGGAGCAAUCCCAACAUCACUUUCUUUGUUUAUGUCAGCAACUUCACCUGGCCAAUAAAAA